CACGUAGGGCGCAAGCGUUGUCCGGAAUCAUUGGGCGUAAAGAGCGUGUAGGCGGCCCGAUAAGUCCGCUGUGAAAGUCCAGGGCUCAACCCUGGGAUGCCGGUGGAUACUGUCGGGCUCGAGUCCGGAAGAGGAGUGUGGAAUUCCUGGUGUAGCGGUGAAAUGCGCAGAUAUCAGGAGGAACACCAAUGGCGAAGGCAGCACUCUGGGACGUGACUGACGCUGAGACGCGAAAGCGUGGGGAGCAAACAGG
rnacentral:rRNA from 1 species